rnacentral:rRNA from 1 species
AUCAACUUUCGAUGGUAGGAUAGAGGCCUACCAUGGUGGUAACGGGUAACGGGGUGUUAGGGCACGACACCGGAGAGGGAGCCUGAGAAACGGCUACCACAUCCAAGGAUGGCAGCAGGCGCGCAAAUUACCCAAUCCCGACACGGGGAGGUAGUGACAAUAAAUAACAAUACGGGGUUCUUUAGGAUCUCGUAAUUGGAAUGAGUACAAUUUAAAUCUCUUAACGAGGAACAAUUGGAGGGCAAGUCUGGUGCCAGCAGCCGCGGUAAUUCCAGCUCCAAUAGCGUAUAUUAAAGUUGUUGUAGUUAAAAAGCUCGUAGUUGAAUUUCGGGGUUAGUAGGUUGGUCAUGCCUCUGGUAUGUACUGGUCUCACUGAUUCCUCCUUCCUUAUGAACCGUAAUGCCAUUAAUUUGGUGUUGCGGGGAAUUUGGACUGUUACUUUGAAAAAAUUAGAGUGUUUAAAGCAAGCUAACGCUUGAAUACAUUAGCAUGGAAUAAUGAAAUAGGACGUUCGAUCUUAUUUUGUUGGUUUCUAGGAUUGACGUAAUGAUUAAUAGGGAUAGUUGGGGGCAUUAGUAUUCAAUUGUCAGAGGUGAAAUUCUUGGAUUUAUUGAAGACUAACUACUGCGAAAGCAUUUGCCAAGGAUGUUUUCAUUAAUCAAGAACGAAAGUUAGGGGAUCGAAGACGAUCAGAUACCGUCGUAGUCUUAACCAUAAACUAUGCCGACUAGGGAUCGGAUGAUGUUAAUUUUUUAAUGACUCAUUCGGCGCCUUACGGGAAACCAAAGUGUUUGGGUUC